rnacentral:rRNA from 1 species
AAAGGAAUUGACGGGGACCCGCACAAGCGGUGGAGCAUGUGGUUUAAUUCGAAGCAACGCGAAGAACCUUACCAAAUCUUGACAUCCUUUGACCGCUCUAGAGAUAGAGUUUUCCCCUUCGGGGGACAAAGUGACAGGUGGUGCAUGGUUGUCGUCAGCUCGUGUCGUGAGAUGUUGGGUUAAGUCCCGCAACGAGCGCAACCCUUAAGCUUAGUUGCCAUCAUUAAGUUGGGCACUCUAAGUUGACUGCCGGUGACAAACCGGAGGAAGGUGGGGAUGACGUCAAAUCAUCAUGCCCCUUAUGAUUUGGGCUACACACGUGCUACAAUGGACAAUACAAAGGGCAGCUAAACCGCGAGGUCAAGCAAAUCCCAUAAAGUUGUUCUCAGUUCGGAUUGUAGUCUGCAACUCGACUACAUGAAGCUGGAAUCGCUAGUAAUCGUAGAUCAGCAUGCUACGGUGAAUACGUUCCCGGGUCUUGUACACACCGCCCGUCACACCACGAGAGUUUGUAACACCCGAAGCCGGUGGAGUAACCAUUUAUGGAGCUAGCCGUCGAAGGUGGGACAAA